rnacentral:rRNA from 1 species
UACGUAGGGUGCGAGCGUUAAUCGGAAUUACUGGGCGUAAAGCGUGCGCAGGCGGCGCGUUAAGACAGGUGUGAAAGCCCCGAGCUUAACUUGGGAAUUGCGCUUGUGACUGGCGUGCUGGAGUGUGGCAGAGGGAGGUGGAAUUCCACGUGUAGCAGUGAAAUGCGUAGAGAUGUGGAGGAACACCGAUGGCGAAGGCAGCCUCCUGGGCCAGCACUGACGCUCAUGCACGAAAAGCGUGGGGGAGCAAACAGG